AUGCCGCGUGCAGGAAGACUGCCCUAUGGGUUGUAAACUGCUUUUAUAUAGGAAGAAACCUACUUACGUGUAAGUAGCUGACGGUACUAUAAGAAUAAGGAUCGGCUAACUCCGUGCCAGCAGCCGCGGUAAUACGGAGGAUCCAAGCGUUAUCCGGAAUCAUUGGGUUUAAAGGGUCCGUAGGUGGAUAAUUAAGUCAGAGGUGAAAUCUUGCAGCUCAACUGUAAAAUUGCCUUUGAUACUGGUUAUCUUGAGUUAUUAUGAAGUAGUUAGGAUAUGUAGUGUAGCGGUGAAAUGCAUAGAUAUUACAUAGAAUACCAAUUGCGAAGGCAGAUUACUAAUAAUCAACUGACACUGAUGGACGAAAGCGUGGGUAGCGAACAGGAUUAGAUACCCUGGUAGUCCACGCCGUAAACGAUGGUUACUAGCUGUUUGGACCUUGUGUCUGAGUGGCUAAGCGAAAGUGAUAAGUAACCCACCUGGGGAGUACGUUCGCAAGAAUGAAACUCAAAGGAAUUGACGGGGGCCCGCACAAGCGGUGGAGCAUGUGGUUUAAUUCGAUGAUACGCGAGGAACCUUACCAGGGCUUAAAUGUAAGUUGCAUUAGUUAGAGAUAGCUAUUUCUUCGGACCACUUACAAGGUGCUGCAUGGUUGUCGUCAGCUCGUGCCGUGAGGUGUCAGGUUAAGUCCUAUAACGAGCGCAACCCCUGUUGUUAGUUGCCAGCGAGUCAUGUCGGGAACUCUAACAAGACUGCCGGCGCAAACCGUGAGGAAGGUGGGGAUGACGUCAAAUCAUCACGGCCCUUACGUCCUGGGCUACA
rnacentral:rRNA from 1 species